rnacentral:rRNA from 1 species
UACGUAGGGGGCAAGCGUUGUCCGGAAUCAUUGGGUGUAAAGCGCGUGUAGGCGGGAGGCCAAGUCUGCGGUGAAAUCGCUCGGCUCAACUGGGCGGGGUCCGUGGAAACUGGUCACCUGGAGGACGGUAGAGGCGAGUGGAAUUCCCGGUGUAGUGGUGAAAUGCGUAGAGAUCGGGAGGAACACCAGUGGCGAAGGCGGCUCGCUGGGCCGGACCUGACGCUGAGACGCGAAGGCGUGGGGAGCGAACGGG